UACGGAGGGCGCGAGCGUUAAUCGGAAUCACUGGGCGUAAAGCGCGCGUAGGCUGUCUGGUAAGUCAGACGUGAAAUCCCUCAGCUCAACUGGGGAACUGCGUUUGAUACUGCCGGACUUGAGUCCCGGAGAGGGUGGCGGAAUUCCAGGUGUAGGAGUGAAAUCCGUAGAUAUCUGGAGGAACACCGGUGGCGAAGGCGGCCACCUGGACGGGUACUGACGCUGAGGUGCGAAAGCGUGGGGAGCAAACAGG
rnacentral:rRNA from 1 species